AUCUUGUUAGAUUCAGUGUGCACUAAACUAGGUAAGAGGAGUAGUCAGGACUUUCCUAACAUCUACAAAUCUCUUACCUCUUCCAAGAUACAGCGUGGUACCCACCCAGCAAUACAUGAUAUCUUGGCUCUGAGAGAGUGUUUCUCUAACCAUCCUCUGGGCAUGAACCAACUCCAGGCUUUGCACGUGAAAGCCUUGAGCCGGGCCAUGCUUCUCACAUCUUACCUGCCUCCUCCCUUGUUGAGACAUCGUUUGAAGACUCAUACAACUGUGAUUCACCAACUGGACAAGGCUUUGGCAAAGCUGGGGAUUGGCCAGCUGACUGCUCAGGAAGUAAAAUCGAAGCUGAGCUGUCUCUCUUGCUGCACAACGUGGUCCUGCUCUCCACCAACUACCUUGGGACAAGGCGCUGAAUGAACCAUGGAGCGGAUGGCAUUGUCCUGCAGUCGUAUAGUAUAGCAGUGCAGGAACAAACAGCACUUGCCAGCAAAGUCUGUGUGUACUGUUAAGUGUGUGGGAGGCAGAGAGAGGAGCAGGGGCCAUGGGCUUCACAGCAUGGCACACAUGUGGGAACUGCAGACAUUCCUCUCACAGCUAGAACUGAAACAAACCCUCUUGCUAGGGGUGGUCCGUGUGAGGUGUCAUCCUGUCCCCCUCAUAAUUACUAAUAGCUGGAACUGGCAGCAGCCUCUACUGGGCUUUUACUGUGAUGUGUUCAGUUCAUGUCCUAGGAAGUCAGCUUUUGCCCCAGGUGGGAAUCCUUAUUUGGCUUAGGACUGAUCCACUUCCAUGUUACUUACAUCUGUGGG
rnacentral:lncRNA from 1 species